CAACCCGAGCGAAGUUUCCUUCCGGAGGCCACCGCCACGAGAAACAAAAUGGCGAUCGAUCCUUCUCUCGCCGAAACCGACAUUUUCGACGAAUUUUUGAAAUAUGGACUGUUUUUGGGCGCCAUUUUCCAGCUGGUGUGCAUAGGGGCUGUUAUAUUUGUGCCGAGUAGGGAUGACAAGAGGGACGGAGACUCUAGUGACGACGACGGCUCUGAUCACGGCUCCCCGCACACGUCCCCCCCCCACCGCGGCCAAAACCAGCACCAUCGACGCAAGCAUGACAAGAAGAAGAGACGGUGAAUUCAGCAAGACAGGCUUCGGGAGGGAUAACUCAUGUUGACGGAAUAGUGUGUUCUUUUGGACUCUUAUGGAAUUUGGAAUGAGUAGCAGGCCUACUUAAUAUGAUGCUGCAAAGAGCCCCUACAUGACGAAGCUUUUGUAAGAUUUUACACCUGAGAACCUCCCAUUCAAGGGUAUGGCAGUGCUAUGGCAGUGCUUUUGCAGUGCUUUUGCGGGAAAUAGGUUUUGGUAUGUGAGAGACUGCUCAUUGUAACAUCAGUCAUGGUCUACUUUUAGGAUCCCAUUUGUUCACCUCUUCACACAGGACAAGUACAGACCCACUGUGGCAUUGCAUCUGUAUUGCCUUUGUAGGAUUAAUCUUAUUUUACUGUGAUUUCAGAUCUGAAUAAACAUGUCUUUAUGUUAAAUGUUAGCUUUUUUUUUUAAUCAUAUAUAUUUUUUAUAGUUUGGUUGCUAGUAUGUGUGUAUAUGUUAUAACUUAACAUGUGGUGAGAUUGAAAAUGAAACCUAGAAUUUCUUAUUGGCUUUGUAACUUUUUGUUGAUCUGAAUUACAUGUCCGAUCUUGAAGUUUAUCCAAAUAUAAGAGAAUUCAAUCUUGUUGGCAGGUUCAGUGCAGUUUCUGUCUUUGCUGGAAAAUGUAGUGGUUAGAAUUUUUUUUUUUUUGUAACAUUCCAAACAGCUGUGCAAUACUACUUGAAUGUCUUUUUGCAUUUUUUAAAUAAAAUGAACCAAUCGCA
rnacentral:misc_RNA from 1 species